GCCGCGGGAGUUCGGCAGCUCCGGUCGCCAAGGCAACGGGCUUCGCUGCGCUCGGCGGGCGCCAGGCAGCCCGGGGGAGGCGCUGCGGGCCAGCGGCCCGGACUCGGCUGGCGGCGGGACGGCAGAUGAGGAAAUUGAAGAUCAAAGGAUUUAAGAAACCUCCCAGCUCCUACAUCUAAUGAAUUCCGGAGUUUGAAUCCAGAAUUUCCGUAUUGAUUAGUCAACAGUGGAAAAUCUGAAGAGAUGCGAGCUGGAAAAAGAAACUAAACCAGGCCUGAAGAGCGAUGCGACAGGCAUGAUGGAGGUCGAGUCCUCCUACUCGGACUUCAUCUCCUGUGACCGGACAGGCCGCCGGAACGCAGUCCCUGACAUCCAGGGAGACUCCGAGGCCGUAAGCGUACGGAAGCUGGCUGGCGACAUGGGCGAGCUAGCCCUCGAGGGCGCAGAAGGACAGGCGGAGGUGGGCACCCCAGACAAGGAAGGUAGCAGCCAGCCCAAGAGCAGCGAUGGGACCACCUCAUCUUGAACAUGACCUUGCCCGAGGAGGCUGGAAGAGUGACGCGCCGUGGACGGAAAGCCCUGGCACUGGCCCAGCAGCCUUUCCUCUGAGCAAUGUGUUCCAGGCAAGCCAGGCCAGACUGAAAGGCAGCCCCAGAGGCUCCCGUGGCCCCUACCCUGGGAAGGCCCUCUGCCCACACCCCCAGGCUCCACGCUCCCACCACCUCCUCACUUGCCCGGGUACACUUUCAAGACACUGUAACCACAGGAUGUUAUUUAUUCAGCAGGUGCUGGGACUCAGGGGCUGGGUCCUGCCACCUGGGUGAACAGCUGGGGCAGGGACCGCAUUCUAGCUCUGCCCCCUCUUCUCCAACCCAGCCAGCCUUCUGUGUCAGGACCUUCUUAUCCCUUUUUUAAGAAGCACUUUUAAACUUUUUAGAAACUUUAAACCUUUUCUCAGCAGAGAGGGAGGGAGCUGACAAUUUACCUUUUAUUUUGGAAGCCAUUGUAAGUUAAACUCUUUGACCAUCUAUGCAGCUCUGAGGUUCCCUCAUGGAGCUUCACAGAUCCAUUUUUAGCGAAGGGAUCUUGUGCUCAAAACUCUGAUUAACUCUUUGCCCUUUCUACCAAGAUAAGUGACACCUAGGACCCAGGAAAUAAAUGCUGAUUUGUGUGAUA